ACAUAGCGGUUGAGUCACGAGCAGUGGAACAUGUCGUUUAAUUGGAUAAUCCUCCUAAAAUCUUACCAUCUUUUGAAUAUUUUACAGGCGUUACAUCGUUGUCGUCAGUUCAUGCCGUGAGGUUUAAUAUUUAGUUAUUUAAUGAACGUAAUCCCUUAUAUUUUAUAUUAAGCAUUGUUGAGAAACAAUGGGAAGUAGGGGCCGAAGACUAAUCAUGAUGACCCUUAUAAGAUGGGCUAUAGACGUGUUACGAUGUUAUUGACAAUUAUAAAUAUAUUUACAUAUAUUUCUUUAAACAAUAAGAUUAAGACAUAGAUACUUUCAUGGAUUGUAGUCUGAAAUUCGACUACAUGAAGGAGGAAUUGCUAGUAAUCGCGAACUAGAGAGUCGCGGUGAAAUUCUUAACUACUUCGUACUAACCACUCAUCAACAGCAAGAAGCUUUUACUUUCCUGUAAAAGAUCAUUUGAUCUUUUUGAUUGGUUUGUUUACACGUGAC
rnacentral:rRNA from 1 species